rnacentral:ncRNA from 1 species
CAAAAGCUUGGUCCUGGCUUUACUGUCAUCUUUAGCCAAAUUUACACAUGCAAGUCUCCGCACCCCCGUGAGGAUGCCCUCAACCUCCCAACCGAAAUAGAGGAGCCGACAUCAGGCACGCAUACUAAACCAGCAGCCCAAGACGUCUUGCUCAGCCACACCCCCAAGGGUAUUCAGCAGUGAUAGACAUUAAGCAAUGAGUGGAAACUCGACUUAGUUAAGGCUAACAGGGCCGGUCAACCUCGUGCCAGCCGCCGCGGUUAUACGAAGGACCCAAGUUGACAGACACCGGCGUAAAGAGUGGUUAUGGAUCAAAUUUACUAAAGUCGAACACCCCCCACACUGUUAUACGCACCCGGGGAAAUGGAAGCCCUACCACGAAAGUGACUUUAACACCCCUCCUGAACCCACGACAACCAUGAAACAAACUGGGAUUAGAUACCCCACUAUGCUUGGUCGUAAACUUCGAUAGUGCUUUACCUCCACUAUCCGCCUGGGAAUUACGAGCAACGCUUAAAACCCAAAGGACUUGGCGGUGCUUCAGACCCACCUAGAGGAGCCUGUUCUAGAACCGAUAUUCCCCGUUCAACCUCACCACCUCUGGCCAAUCCCGCCUAUAUACCGCCGUCGUCAGCUUACCCCCUGAAGGCCUCAUAGUAAGCAAAACGGGCACAGCCCCUGACGUCAGGUCGAGGUGUAGCGCAUGGGGUGGGAAGUAAUGGGCUACAUUCUCUACCUUAGAGUACACGAAAGGAUCCGUGGAUGAAACUCCCUCCUGAAGGCGGAUUUAGCAGUAAGAAGAAAAAAUGAGCGUUUUUCUGAAGCUGGCUCUGAAGCGCGCACACACCGCCCGUCACUCUCCCCCAAAAAACACACCAAAUUUAUAAAAAGAAUUAACAACAAGGGGAGGCAAGUCGUAACACGGUAAGUGUACCGGAAGGUGCACUUGGACAAA